rnacentral:rRNA from 1 species
GAGUUUGAUCCUGGCUCAGAUUGAACGCUGGCGGCAGGCCUAACACAUGCAAGUCGAGCGGAAACGAGUUAACUGAACCUUCGGGGAACGUUAACGGCGUCGAGCGGCGGACGGGUGAGUAAUGCCUGGGAAAUUGCCCUGAUGUGGGGGAUAACCAUUGGAAACGAUGGCUAAUACCGCAUAAUAGCUUCGGCUCAAAGAGGGGGACCUUCGGGCCUCUCGCGUCAGGAUAUGCCCAGGUGGGAUUAGCUAGUUGGUGAGGUAAUGGCCCACCAAGGCGACGAUCCCUAGCUGGUCUGAGAGGAUGAUCAGCCACACUGGAACUGAGACACGGUCCAGACUCCUACGGGAGGCAGCAGUGGGGAAUAUUGCACAAUGGGCGCAAGCCUGAUGCAGCCAUGCCGCGUGUAUGAAGAAGGCCUUCGGGUUGUAAAGUACUUUCAGCAGUGAGGAAGGUGGGUAUGUUAAUAGCAUACUCAUUUGACGUUAGCUGCAGAAGAAGCACCGGCUAACUCCGUGCCAGCAGCCGCGGUAAUACGGAGGGUGCGAGCGUUAAUCGGAAUUACUGGGCGUAAAGCGCAUGCAGGUGGUUUGUUAAGUCAGAUGUGAAAGCCCGGGGCUCAACCUCGGAAUUGCAUUUGAAACUGGCGAACUAGAGUACUGUAGAGGGGGGUAGAAUUUCAGGUGUAGCGGUGAAAUGCGUAGAGAUCUGAAGGAAUACCGGUGGCGAAGGCGGCCCCCUGGACAGAUACUGACACUCAGAUGCGAAAGCGUGGGGAGCAAACAGGAUUAGAUACCCUGGUAGUCCACGCCGUAAACGAUGUCUACUUGGAGGUUGUGGCCUUGAGCCGUGGCUUUCGGAGCUAACGCGUUAAGUAGACCGCCUGGGGAGUACGGUCGCAAGAUUAAAACUCAAAUGAAUUGACGGGGGCCCGCACAAGCGGUGGAGCAUGUGGUUUAAUUCGAUGCAACGCGAAAAACCUUAACCUACUCUUGACAUCUACAGAAACCCAGGCGGUAAAACCCCAGGGGUGGGUGCCUUUGGNAACUUUGUUAAGAAAACACAAGGGUGGNCNUUGNCAAUUGGGG